CUAUAUAAAAGGAGCUAUUUUAAAGGCUUCUAAAGUGUGCCACAUAUGCAAAAAAUUCCUGGCCAAUCAAUCUAACAGCUCAUCUUAAACUGGGCUGAUAUCCAUGUCAAUUACGAAGCCCAAACAAUUUAUUUAAAUCCCAGUCAAUACUGAAGUCAGCCCAAUAUCCAUUUACGGUAUAUGAUACCAAGAAACUAAGAAGCUCAUUCUAUUUUAUGAAAUUACAUGCUUUUGUUUAGUCUUUCGCCACAGUGACCGGAGGCGUGUUGAAUCACAAAGCUUCUCACGCAUCCCAUUAUUAUACUAUUUCAAUUGAGGUUCUUAGUGUUGUUCUAACUUAUAUUUAAAAAUAAAUUUUAUUAAAUGUUAUAGAUUUUACUAUUAUCUUAAUAAAAUUUAAUAUAGAUUUGAUAUAUAUUAUAUCAAAUUAUAUAAACUAAUAAAAAUGAUAUAAAAUUGUAUAAUUAUCAAACAUUUGGCCUAAACAAUAUUUUUAAAAUUUUGUAGAUAUAUAAGAAACUAAAUAUCAUACGAUUAGAUAUUAGAUGUUUAAGAAUUGCAUAUUUUUAAAAGCUUUAGUAAUACAAAUUGUAUAAUUAUAUAAAAAUAAUAAUAUUACUAAAUCUGGAAUGGUAUAUAUGAAUAUAUAUUUAUUUUAUAGAUGAUGCAUAAGAUAUUACCAACAUUAAAUAAAAUUAUCCGUCUCAUGUUUAUUUUUUUAAUUGUAGAGAUGACAUGUAGCAAAAUGCCCAAAAUGACCCUAAUACCCUAGAUAUAUAGAAAAUAUAAAAAAUUUGAAAUAUAAUACAAUAAUUAUUUGUAGAUAACUGGUACGUUUAACUUUGUGGGACAAGGAGACGUCUAAUUUCAGGGAGUAAAAUCGCAUAUCUACCAGAAAAAACUAAAUCGUAAUCAUCACAAGUAUCAUUCUACGGUUACAUGAAGGGAAACUAUCACUCACAACCACACCUGGAUCACGCUUCUACUUUGACAACAAUAUUGAUAUCAUACAACGCUUCCAAAAGAGGAAUAAAUGUCUAUCCUAAGCCUCAUAGCAAACGACACCAGUCAACUUUUUUAAAAUUUACGUUACAGCUUUCUACGUCAAUUAAAUAGGCACACUCAAAUACUAUUUUCUCUUACGAAUAUUAAAUUCAUCAACAUAAUUUAUUAUUCAAACUUACUUUAGUUUAUAAAAAAAAGUGAUCACCGCUUCCAACGUCUUCGCA